AGUUUUAGUAUGUAGAUGCCAUGGACGACAAAUCGUGCAUGCUGUUGAUAUGGGCCGGUAGUAUCUUUUGAAGAUUUCU
rfam:Glossina pallidipes unplaced genomic scaffold Scaffold151, whole genome shotgun sequence.